UUUCCGUAGGUGAACCUGCGGAAGGAUCAUUAUUGAAUAAACCUGAUGUGGUUGUAGCUGGCCCUUUCGGGAGCAUGUGCACACCCGUCGUCUUUAUCUUUCCACCUGUGCACCUUUUGUAGACCUGGAUGUAACACUUUCCGAGGCAACUCGGUCGGGAGGAAUGCUGUCAGCUUUCCUUGAAUGUCCAGGCCUAUGUUUUCAUAUACCCCAAAGAAUGUAACAGAAUGUACUAUUGGGCCUUGUGCCUAUAAACUAUAUACAACUUUCAGCAACGGAUCUCUUGGCUCUC
rnacentral:misc_RNA from 1 species